rnacentral:rRNA from 1 species
CGACAGGCGUAGUCGAUGGACAACCGGUUGAUAUUCCGGUACCCGCUUUGAAGCGCCAAACAUCGAAUCCUCUGAUGCUAAGGCCGUGAAGCCGCCCUGAGCUCUUCGGAGCGUAGGGGAGUGGUGGAGCCGCUGAUCCAAGGUGGUAGUAGGUGAGUGAUGGGGUGACGCAGGAAGGUAGUCCAGCCCGGGCGGUGGUUGUCCCGGGGUAAG